UCCAGACUCCUACGGGAGGCAGCAGUGGGGAAUAUUGCACAAUGGGGGAAACCCUGAUGCAGCGACGCCGCGUGAGUGAAGAAGUAUUUCGGUAUGUAAAGCUCUAUCAGCAGGGAAGAAAAUGACGGUACCUGACUAAGAAGCCCCGGCUAACUACGUGCCAGCAGCCGCGGUAAUACGUAGGGGGCAAGCGUUAUCCGGAUUUACUGGGUGUAAAGGGAGCGUAGACGGCAUGGCAAGUCAGAUGUGAAAGCCCGGGGCUCAACCCCAGGACUGCAUUUGAAACUGUCAGGCUGGAGUGCAGGAGAGGUAAGUGGAAUUCCUAGUGUAGCGGUGAAAUGCGUAGAUAUUAGGAGGAACACCAGUGGCGAAGGCGGUCUGCUGGACAGCAACUGACGCUGAGGCGCGAAAGCGUGGGGAGCAAACAGGAUUAGAUACCCGUGUA
rnacentral:rRNA from 1 species